rnacentral:rRNA from 1 species
GACGAACGCUGGCGGCGUGCUUAACACAUGCAAGUCGAACGGAAAGGCCCUGCUUUUGUGGGGUGCUCGAGUGGCGAACGGGUGAGUAACACGUGAGUAACCUGCCCUUGGCUUUGGGAUAACUUCAGGAAACUGGGGCUAAUACCGGAUAGGAGCUCCUGCUGCAUGGUGGGGGUUGGAAAGUUUCGGCGGUUGGGGAUGGACUCGCGGCUUAUCAGCUUGUUGGUGGGGUAGUGGCUUACCAAGGCUUUGACGGGUAGCCGGCCUGAGAGGGUGACCGGCCACAUUGGGACUGAGAUACGGCCAAGAGUCCUACGGGAGGAAGUAGUGGGAAAUAGUGCACAAUGGGCGGAAGCCUGAUGCAGCAACGCCGCGUGCGGGAUGACGGCCUUCGGGUUGUAAACCGCUUUCGCCUGUGACGAAGCGUGAGUGACGGUAAUGGGUAAAGAAGCACCGGCUAACUACGUG